AGGGGAGACAGGCGAGAAGCAAACGUCUCUUUCUUCUUGGAUACUAACUAACAUGUGGGUGCAGUUUGACAUACUUGAUGCAGUGAGCAGCAGUGAGGACCCAGUCAGAAGAGAUGAGGGUCCCUCCACAGACGUGCCUCCAGCGCCCACUGCCGUCCGACUGAAGAGAGAUCUGAGCACAGCAGAGAGAGGGGACAAGGCCAGCUGUGAGGCCUGACGUCCUCUCCUGCCACCACCCUGCUCAGCACAGGGGGGAAGGUGGGGAGGCCACAUCCGUAGGCUGGGACAAGUGGGAGUGUCGGAGCUUACAGAGCUGAUCCAGUCGAUGUAGGAGCUGACUCGGGUGAACACGGUGGGCUUCUUGG